ACGCACGCUGGCGGCGUGCUUCACCCCUGCAAGUCGCACGGAAAGGCCCUGCUUGUGUGGGGUGCUCGAGUGGCGAACGGGUGAGUAACACGUGAGUAACCUGCCCUUGACUUUGGGAUAACUUCAGGAAACUGGGGCUAAUACCGGAUAGGAGCUCCUGCUGCAUGGUGGGGGUUGGAAAGUUUCGGCGGUUGGGGAUGGACUCGCGGCUUAUCAGCUUGUUGGUGGGGUAGUGGCUUACCAAGGCUUUGACGGGUAGCCGGCCUGAGAGGGUGACCGGCCACAUUGGGACUGAGAUACGGCCCAGACUCCUACGGGAGGCAGCAGUGGGGAAUAUUGCCCAAUGGGCGGAAGCCUGAUGCAGCAACGCCGCGUGCGGGAUGACGGCCUUCGGGUUGUAAACCGCUUUCGCCUGUGACGAAGCGUGAGUGACGGUAAUGGGUAAAGAAGCACCGGCUAACUACGUG
rnacentral:rRNA from 1 species